rnacentral:rRNA from 1 species
AGAGUGAACGCUGGCGGUAGGCCUAACACAUGCAAGUCGAACGGCAGCACAGUAGGAGCUUGCUCUUACGGGUGGCGAGUGGCGGACGGGUGAGGAAUACAUCGGAAUCUACCUUUUGGUGGGGGAUAACGUAGGGAAACUUACGCUAAUACCGCAUACGCCCUUCGGGGGAAAGCCGGGGACCAGCAAUGGCCUGGCGCUGAUAGAUGAGCCGAUGUCGGAUUAGCUAGUUGGUGAGGUAAUGGCUCACCGAAGGCGACGAUCCGUAGCUGGUCUGGAGAGGAUGAUCAGCCACACUGGAACUGAGACCACGGUCCAGACCUCCGUACGGGAGCAGCAGGUGGGAAUAGUGGACGAAUGGGCCGACAAGCCUGACUCCGACGACCCACGUACCCGGCGGUGGGUA